UUCCUCUAUAAGAAUGAAUUCUUUCUACUUCUUUAAAGGUUUUUCUGUUUUUAAUUUUCAAAAGUUUAAUUAGCAUGGAUUUCCUUGGGUGUAUCCUAUUUGAGGUUUCUCAACUUCUUGAAUCUAUGCUCUAUAUGUCUUUCACAAAAUUUAGGAAGUUUUUUGCUGUAAUUUCUCUGAAUACUUGCUCAGUCCCUCUUUAAUCCUCCUGUCCUUCUGGAACAUCCACAAUAUGAAUGCUAGCUCUAUUUUUACUGUCUCACAGAUAUACAUAGCCCUGGAGGGGUUUUCUUUUUCUUUUUCCAGGAACCUUGUGAAAAUCGGAUACAUGGGGAAGGAGGAGAAAUAUUAUACCUGAUUUGGCCUGGAACCUCAAGAAGGCUUCCUACAUGAGAGGAAACAAUAUUUAGAAACAUAAAGAAAAGAAGGUACUAGUAUAGAAAACAGCAUUGAGAAAACCAGCUAUGUAAACCACUAGGAAUAACUGGACACAGACUUGUGUAGACAUUUUGGUUGAAUAAAGCAGUGGGCUGCAAAUUGCCACAAAGCGGUCAUAGGCCAUGGCAGCCAGAAGGAUGCAUUCGACUGUCCCAAAGAAAACUGUUGAACUAAGCUGGAUGGCACAUCCAAGAGUUUCGCUCUUGUUACCAAGGCUGGAGUGCAAUGGCGGAUCUCGAAUCACCGCAACCUUCGUCUCCUGGGUUCAGGCAAUUCUCCUGCCUCAGCCUCCCGAGUAGCUGGGAUUACAGGCACGCGUCACCAUGCCCAGCUAAUUUUUUGUAUUUUUAGUAGAGACGGGGUUUCACCACGUUGACCAGGAUGGUCUCGAUCUCUCGUGAUUCACCUGCCUCGGCCUCCCAAAGUGCUGGGAUUACAGGCUUGAGCGACUGCGCCCAGCCAAUGUCAUAUUUAAAAGAGCAGGAAGGAAAAGGAUAUGAGGACGUAGUGUAGCAAUGAAUGUUCUGUCAGUGUGGGAGGACGACACACCUGGAAUACCAGCCAAAUAACAGCAUUUCAUAAUCUUAUCAUACAUUUGUCUUAUCUUCAUGCUGUAAGUCACAUGAAGCCCACAGUGCCCCAUGCCAGUGGCAUAUUAAUAUAUCCUUAAAUAAAAAUACCAAGCCAUGAUUUAUCAUCAGAAUUCCUUCCAAGAAGACUUUUCUAGAUUACUUACCUGGAUACUUUUAUUCCCAGGUAACAAAUCUGCACAUACCACCUCCUCAGAAUCUAAAAGAAAAGUUGAAAAAUAAAUAAAUUGAUAUAUUAAAAAAUAAAAUAAAGCAAAAUACACACAUAAGAAGAAUUAAUGGCUAAAAUCAGCUCAGAUGUAAGAUGGAAUAUUAUCAGAAUGCAGGCCUACGUGGAUAAUUCAAGGAAGGGAUGAUGAGAGAAAAAGAUUUUUAAAUGGCUUGGGGUGAGAUUCACAGGAGCAAAUGUCACUUUUUUAAAAAACAUGUUCAAUGUUCUAGGCAUGAAUGA
rnacentral:lncRNA from 1 species